GCGAAAGUGGCGGAAUUGGUAGACGCGCGGGAUUUAGGAUCCCGUGGCCCCGUGCCGUGGGGGUUCGAGUCCCCCCUUUCGCA
rnacentral:tRNA from 1 species